rnacentral:rRNA from 1 species
UGGGGAAUUUUGGACAAUGGGCGAAAGCCUGAUCCAGCAAUGCCGCGUGUGUGAAGAAGGCCUUCGGGUUGUAAAGCACUUUUGUCCGGAAAGAAAUCCUUGGCUCUAAUACAGUCGGGGGAUGACGGUACCGGAAGAAUAAGCACCGGCUAACUACGUGCCAGCAGCCGCGGUAAUACGUAGGGUGCAAGCGUUAAUCGGAAUUACUGGGCGUAAAGCGUGCGCAGGCGGUUUGCUAAGACCGAUGUGAAAUCCCCGGGCUCAACCUGGGAACUGCAUUGGUGACUGGCAGGCUAGAGUAUGGCAGAGGGGGGUAGAAUUCCACGUGUAGCAGUGAAAUGCGUAGAGAUGUGGAGGAAUACCGAUGGCGAAGGCAGCCCCCUGGGCCAAUACUGACGCUCAUGCACGAAAGCGUGGGGAGCAAACAGGAUUAGAUACCCUGGUAGUCCACGCCCUAAACGAUGUCAACUAGUUGUUGGGGAUUCAUUUCCUUAGUAACAUAGCUAACGCGUGAAGUUGACCGCCUGGGGAGUACGGUCGCAAGAUU